CGGCAUAGCUCAAUCGGUAGAGCAUCUGAAUCGUAAUCAGAGGGUUGAGGGUUCAAGUCCUUUUGCCG
rnacentral:tRNA from 1 species